rnacentral:rRNA from 1 species
CCUACGGGAGACAGCAGUGAGGAAUAUUGGUCAAUGGACGAGAGUCUGAACCAGCCAAGUAGCGUGAAGGAUGACUGCCCUAUGGGUUGUAAACUUCUUUUAUAUGGGAAUAAAAUGUUCCACGUGUGCCAUUUUGUAUGUACCUUAUGAAUAAGGAUCGGCUAACUCCGUGCCAGCAGCCGCGGUAAUACGGAGGAUCCGAGCGUUAUCCGGAUUUAUUGGGUUUAAAGGGAGCGUAGGUGGAUUGUUAAGUCAGUUGUGAAAGUUUGCGGCUCAACCGUAAAAUUGCAGUUGAAACUGGCAGUCUUGAGUACAGUAGAGGUAGGCGGAAUUCGUGGUGUAGCGGUGAAAUGCUUAGAUAUCACGAAGAACUCCGAUUGCGAAGGCAGCUCACUGGACUGCAACUGACACUGAGGCUCGAAAGUGUGGGUAUCAAACAGGAUUAGAUACCCCAGUAGUC